rnacentral:rRNA from 1 species
UACGUAGGGGGCGAGCGUUGUCCGGAGUUACUGGGCGUAAAGGGCAUGCAGGCGGUCCGACACGUUUUUUGUGUGACAGCGGGUGGCUUAACUACCCGAGGAUACGAAAGACGGUUGGACUUGAGGACUCGAGAGGGACACGGAAUUCCGGGUGGAGUGGUGAAAUGCGUAGAGAUCCGGAGGAACACCGAAGGCGAAGGCAGUGUCCUGGCGAGUGACUGACGCUGAGGGUGCGAAAAGCCAGGGGGAGCGAAACGGG